rnacentral:rRNA from 1 species
UACGUAGGGACCGAGCGUUGUCCGGAUUCAUUGGGCGUAAAGAGCUCGUAGGCGGUGUGUCACGUCGGCCGUGAAAACCUGCAGCUUAACUGUGGGCGUGCGGUCGAUACGGGCAUCACUGGAGUUCGGCAGGGGAGACUGGAAUUCCUGGUGUAGCGGUGAAAUGCGCAGAUAUCAGGAGGAACACCGGUGGCGAAGGCGGUUCUCUGGGAAUGUCCUGACGCUGAGGAGCGAAAGUGUGGGGAGCGAACAGG